CCAGACUCCUACGGGAGGCAGCAGUGAGGAAUAUUGGUCAAUGGUCGGGAGACUGAACCAGCCAAGCCGCGUGAGGGAUGAAGGUACCGAGUAUCGUAAACCUCUUUUGUCAGGGAACAAAGGCGGGGACGUGUCCCCGGAUGAGUGUACCUGAAGAAAAAGCAUCGGCUAACUCCGUGCCAGCAGCCGCGGUAAUACGGAGGAUGCGAGCGUUAUCCGGAUUUAUUGGGUUUAAAGGGUGCGCAGGCGGUUGUGAAAGGUGGGGGGAAAAACCCGGGGCCCACCCCCGGCCCCGCCGUUGAAACUGGCAGUCUCGAGUUGGAGAGAAGUAUGCGGAAUGCGUGGUGUAGCGGUGAAAUGCAUAGAUAUCGCGCAGAACUCCGAUUGCGAAGGCAGCAUGCCGGCUCCACACUGACGCUGAGGCACGAAAGCGUGGGUAUCGAACAGGAUUAGAUACCCCCGUAG
rnacentral:rRNA from 1 species